UACGUAGGUGGCAAGCGUUGUCCGGAUUUAUUGGGUUUAAAGGGUGCGUAGACGGCCCUGUAAGUCAGUGGUGAAAUACUCUAGCUUAACUAGAGGGGUGCCAAUGAUACUGCAGGGCUUGAGUACAGAUGAGGUAGGCGGAAUUGACGGUGUAGCGGUGAAAUGCAUAGAUAUCGUCAAGAACACCGAUAGCGAAGGCAGCUUACUGGGCUGUAACUGACGCUGAUGCACGAAAGCGUGGGGAGCAAACAGG
rnacentral:rRNA from 1 species